CCUUAAUUAAAUCUCAGAAGUUCUGGAGAGGUAUUUCUUCACUGCUCGGAGCACUUUGUGUCUUUAAGGUCAGUAAAACUGGUCGUACCUGAAACUGACGUAUAAUGUAAUCAAAUCCUGCAACAAGACUAGCUAGAAAGCUUUUUGAGUAUAUGAGAAGAGAUGCUGCUUCAAUUAGGAUACAAAAGCAUGCACACACCCAUUUUGCCAGAAAAGCGUACCUUCAAGUAU
rnacentral:lncRNA from 1 species